rnacentral:rRNA from 1 species
GUAGUCUGCAACCCGGCUACAUGAAGCUGGAAUCGCUAGUAAUCGCAGAUCAGAAUGCUGCGGUGAAUACGUUCCCGGGUCUUGUACACACCGCCCGUCACACCAUGGGAGUCGGAAAUGCCCGAAGUCGGUGACCCAACCGUUUACGGAGGGAGCUGCCGAAGGCAGGUCUGGUGACUGGGGUGAAGUCGUAACAAGGUAGC